rnacentral:snoRNA from 1 species
GUUGAGAGUGAUGAGUUGCACUAAUUAGUUGGGGUGGCUGAUGCAGUGGCACCAACACCCCAAUCCGAGCCCACCUGCGGACACACGCUGUGCACAGGGGCCAUCUGACUCAAC